GUUUGAUCCUGGCUCAGAGCGAACGUUAGCGGCAGGCUUAACACAUGCAAGUCGAGCGAGAAAGGGGCUUCGGCUCCGAGUAAAGCGGCGGACGGGUGCGUAACACGUGGAUAAUCUGCCUCGUGGCGGGGGACAACAGUCCGAAAGGACUGCUAAUACCGCAUGUCAGGUCGGAAACUCCGGUUUCUGACGAAAAAGAGGGCGUCCGCAAGGAGCUCUCACCACGAGAUGAGUCCGCGUCCCAUCAGCUAGUUGGCGGUGUAAUGGACCACCAAGGCUUAGACGGGUAGCUGGUCUGAGAGGAUGACCAGCCACACUGGGACUGAGACACGGCCCAGACUCCUACGGGAGGCAGCAGUGGGGAAUAUUGGACAAUGGGCGAAAGCCUGAUCCAGCCAUGCCGCGUGAGUGA
rnacentral:rRNA from 1 species